rnacentral:lncRNA from 1 species
AGGCCCGAAGCUGGGCUGGAGUCUAUCCCUUUGCCCGGACUGGACUUCAGUGUUGUGGUACAAGAAUUUAUCACCCUGUAGUGUGAUUUAAGUCACACCUUGGCAGGAGUUACUUGGUGGCGUUAUUUUCUAGGAGCUGCCUGGCUCAGCCAUGCCUAACUGCCCCAGUUGCCCCGGGCAGAUCCCCUUGCUUAGGAGCUCUCCGAAGUGACCGGAGGAUCCCGAGGUGGAGCAUGCGGGAGUCGGGUUCGCCGUUCACGCCUGCUGCGGGGCUCGGUGCGCCUUGCAGAGCGGCCGCCUGCAGCUUGCAGCGCACCUGGGCCCGACUACCUGAUCCCGCCUCAGAGAGGGGCCCAGGCCUGGACCAGGGGCCCGAGCGCUGCCCGCCUUGGGAGAGCGUCGGGAGGACGCUGCUAAAUCCCCUUGCCUUCUGCCGCUCUGAGCUGUUGCACCUAUGUACUGAAACCUCUGAACUGUGAGCUAAAUAAACCUCCCCUUUACUUUGGGUGUUGGGUAUUUCGUCUCAGCAAUGAGAGAGGAAUAACUAACACACCACUGAUCUUUUCAGAUGAUAGGGCCCAGCAUUUGAGAGGCUGAGGCAGGAGGAUCACUAGGAAUUUGAGGCCAGCCUCAACUAUACAGAGAUGCUGUCACACACACACACAAAGAUGGUAGAAAAUAGUGAGAGUCUGGGUACCUCCCUGUUAGAACUUAGUUCCUUAAAAGGCUUUGCUCAAAGUUGAUGAGAGAGAAAAGCCAGACAGCCGGGCAUGGUGGCACACUCCUGUAAUCAGGAGGCUGAGGCAGGAGGAUCACUGAGUUCAAGGCCAGCCUAACCUGCAUAGUAAGACCUUGUCUCAAAAAAAAAAACGAAAAAAGAAAAACCAGAAACUCCCCUUUGAGCAAGCAGAAACCUAUUAAAUGAAAUAAUAAAGUUUUCUACACAGUGGCAACAAAAGCCAUAAAAUACGUCAGAAUAAACCUCAUCAAGUUACAAAAUCUUUAUGAUGAAGUGUGGCUGAACUGCAGAAUAAGGCCAAGUGAAUGGAAAACAGAAGUUACUUUCUCAGGGAUCGAACUCAGGACCUUGCCCUUUCAAGGCAGGAGGCGACACGGCUGAGCUAAAUCCCUGGCCCCACACAAGCAUUUCAGAGAUUCUUUUUUCUCCCUUCAGUAGCCACUUCCUUCCUCUGGCCAAACAAGGGAUUUUUCUCCAGUCUUCAUGAGGCCCUGGUGGGGAUCUGGAGGUAAAAAUCCAAGCAAAUGUGGCUUCCGCCGAAAUCAAGGUCCCUGGAAAUUUUUGAC